ensembl:lncRNA
GCAUUUCUUCUGCCUCCCAUCUCUGAGGCAAGAUGGAGUGAUACGAUACUCUUAAUCUAAUGAGGAUAGAGCUGCAAGGUGCAAAGUGACUGGGUCUGAAAGCUGAAGCCUUUUCAUCAGGCUGUGGGCCACUUGAUGUGAAUCAGCUGAUGAACUCGGCUGGCCUGUCUUUGGCCAUAUGUUAUGCUACAGCUGGCUUUUAAGCUUCCUUCUUCAAAAUAAUGCUUGGCUGUUAAUUAUGUGAAGGGUCAAAGUAAAGCAGGCUAAGAACAAAAACCUGAGGAAUACUGAAUUGAAUUGCAUAAAAAAUACAACAUUUUGUCUUUGAUCCAAGUGGAAGUACUCUGAGGACUCCUGCUUUAGGAAGCAGCUGAGCUCCGAUAUAAGAUGUGUUGAGUCAACAGCACUGUGAACCUUUGCAGAAAGAGGACUUGUUAUUCCCUUUGUUUCUACACUCAAGACUUGCUUUGCUG